UUCUUUUAGUAUGAAUUAAAAGUAGGGUCUGCCCACUGUAAAAAUAAAGGGCCGCGGUAUUUUGACCGUGCUAAGGUAGCAUAAUCAUUAGCUUCUUAAUUAGGAGAUUGUAUGAAUGAUUGAACUUUAAAUCGUUUUAUUCUUAAUAAAUUUGUAAUUUAGAAUUUAAGUAAAAAUACUUAAAUGUUCUUGUUAGACGAUAAGACCCUAUAGAUCUUAACUAAAAAAUUUUUAGGGGUUAAAUAGUGGGAUGCUUUUAAGAUUUAAUUUAGUUUAAUUGGGGCAAUUGAAGAAUAUGAAAAACUUCUUAAAAGUAAAAGAAUAAAUUUGCUUAAUCCCAUUUAGGAGAUUAAAAAGUUACCUUAGGGAUAACAGCGUAAUUAGUUUUUAGAGCCCGUAUCGAGAAACUAGUUUGCGACCUCGAUGUUGAAUUAGGAAGUCUUUUUAGGGCAGAAAAUUAAAAAGAUGGUUUGUUCAACCAUUAAAUUUCUACA
rnacentral:rRNA from 1 species